AUUGAACGCUGGCGGCAGGCCUAACACAUGCAAGUCGAGCGGAGCGGCGGACGGGUGAGUAAUGCCUAGGCAUCUGCCUGGUCGUGGGGGAUAAAGUCCGGAAACGGGCGCUAUUACCGCAUCCUAUCAGAUGAGCCUAGGUCGGAUUAUAUAGUUGGUGGGGUAAAGGCCUACCAAGUCGACGAGCCGUAACUGGGCUGAGAGGAUGAUCAGUCACACUGGAACUGAGACACGGUCCAGACGCCUACGGGAGGCAGCAGGGGGGAAUAUUGGACAAUGGGCGAAAGCCUGAUCCAGCCAUGCCGCGUGUGUGAAGAAGGUCUUCGGAUUGUAAAGCACUUUAAGUUGGGAGGCGUUACCAACAGAAUAAGCACCGGCUAACUUCGUGCCAGCCGCCGCGGUAAUUC
rnacentral:rRNA from 1 species